UAUACAUUGUUCUUUAAUUUUCUAGAUUUUAGAAAAGUUUUGUAUUCGAAAUAAUACAUGUGAAAAAAUAAAAAAAUCCAAAAAUAUUGUAGUUUUUCUUCUUCUGAUUCAACAGCCCGUCCAAAGCAACUGUUUUCAAUUUUUGAACUAAAUAAUUUAAAAUUGGUUCAAUUAACUGAAGUAAAAGGUACUUUGAAACACAAGGUUGAGCACAGAAGUAUUCACCUCAAAUCUAGCUGUGUCAUAUUGAAGCCUUUUAUUUGGAUUAGACAAAAUAUUAUAAGAGAAUGUGACCUCCUUGAAUAUAUUUGCACCUUUAGGAUCAUUUGCAUUCUUGUCCGGAUGGUACCUACACAUUGUAAAAUAAGCAUAAAUAACAACCAACAAUUUUGUCUGCCUCGUAAAACAGAGCUGUUGAUAUAUAAGGGCAUAAACACACACACGCACAGAGAGAGAGUAACCAUUCACAAAAUACCAUCCAGAAGCAUCCACUAAUAGGGUUCCUGCUAUAGAUUAUUUUUUCUGUUAUUGGCAACAGAUCUCUUGCAAUAUACUNUGUUGAUACAUAAGGGCAUAAACACACACACACACACACACACACACACAGAGAGAGAGAGAGAGAGAGAGAGAGAGAGAGUAACCAUUCACAAAAUACCAUCCAGAAGCAUCCACUAAUAGGGUUCCUGCUAUAGAUUAUUUUUUCUGUUAUUGGCAACAGAUCUCUUGCAAUAUACUGGAGAGUCUUAUAAAAUAGGAUAUAAAGGUAAAAUUGAGAGCUUUAACAGUAAAACGGACUAAUAGAAGACAAAGGACAAAGUAAAGAGAACAGAAGCAAGGCGAACAAAUAGACCACCAACUUGGCAACUUCUGGAAUGAGAUUCUUCCUAUCAUGCAUUUCUUUCUCUCUUUUUUUCCUACUGACAUUAUUCACUGUAUAUUUUUGGUGCAAAUAUUUGUAUAAUUUUGUUAUUUAUCUGUUUAUUGGGUUGAUGAGUAAAAUUUAUAUUAGGAGCAUGUUUGCUAAUUCGCUAAGCUUAGGAAAAAUAAUAAAAAUAUUUUUAUUCUAUAGGCUUAUAAAGAAGUUCCUACACGCCCGACCAUAUCCUUCGUGAAUGCAAACAAAUUCUUUACAUGCAAAUCUUUACAAGACUAAAACAUUAUGCUUUUCACUUUUCGAUUUCUCAAACUUGAUUUCGUAUUGUUGUUAAAAAACAGUGAGGCGGAUUUUACUAUUCUCAUUAGUAAAAGAAAAAUUGUCUCCAAUUCUUUGUACAUAUUUUUACUUCAAUUUGACGUUCAUUCAUUAACAAUGUGCAAGGUCUAACUGCUAUCCAUAUUUAGAAUUUUCUCCUCUUCGUUUCGCUUCGGUCGAAAGGUAGGAAUUUUCUUUUCCUUCUAUAAGUUUAGCUUCCUUUGAUAAUGUUUAAUUAGAUUAUACAUAGAAAUUACUCGUUUAGUACUCUUACCUUAUGUUUUGCAGUAUUUUGAAGUUCCAUUUACUUUAUUUGUGGCUGAGAACAAUGUCAAACUUAGAUUUCUUAUUCUUUUAUGUUCUUUUGUUGACAUUUCUUUCAAAUCCAUAAAUAAUGUUAAAUGGAUUUAUGCUUUGAUGAACCAUAUAAUUGACUUAUGGAACCAAUGCUAGCUCUUUACCACCAUUACAAUCGACGAAUCUGCUCCUGGAAUAAAGGCCAUAUUGAACUUCAAAGCUCCUUUCCAAAGGCUUGGAAAUGUGAGAGGUUUUGUGUUUAAUGCUUAUAGCAUCAUAAAUCUUAGUGCUUUCUAUGUGUAGUGUACCUCUAAUUAUUUUCCCAUAAUGACCACGAUUGUUGGAAGUGCAAUACUUGCAUGAGUAUGUGGGGAUAAGCUCAACCAUUGGGUUGACAGCUAACCCAUUGUCAAUAAACUGCAUCAUGAAAUACUAGAAAGAGCAAAUAACAUAAUGACAACCUUCAAAUUCCUUAUUGCUUUAGUUUGGAUGUUUAUAGUUUGUAUGUUUUAGAAAGUGCAAUUUAUGUUAUGUUAGUUAUCAUGUUUUUACAUAUUGUGAAUAGGUUAAAGUAUUAAACAAUUCUAUGUAGGCAUAUUUAUUUUACUUGAAAGUUUAGUUUCCACAUAUGUAUGAUAUAAUAUAUGUGCUAAUAGCUUUUUUUUUCAAUUCUUUUAGUUCUUGUUGGUUACCUUGGGCUCCAACUAUUCGUUAAGUUAUCUAAUUGUUCUUAUGGAUGUUUCGGAAACAUGUUCUAAUGGAGUGACUGGUUCUCUGAAUUUCGAAACAAUGUCCUAUCGCCAACAACAGAACCAAAGGCAAAGGGAUAGGCGAAAUCGACUUGGAAUCGGGUGCAAUGAUCGUCGCAAGUGGAUAAAUGAUCCCAUGUCAUCUGAAAUUAAUAAUUCCAACAUUGAAAGAAUACAGCAAUCUAUAAUGCAUCAUGAUUUUGAGGCUUCUACUUCAAACCAAGAGACACAUGAUAUUUCCAAUUCUGCAUUACGAAGUAGUUUUAAUGUACUGAACAUACCAACGACUUAAUAUGCAUUACCGACAUGCAAUAGUUGUAAAUAUUAUGGUGCAAGAAAAUUUUAUAGAGAAAGUAAAGGCUUCUGUUGCUCUGAUGGAAAGUUCAUCUCUAUAUGCCUGAUUCACCAACUGAAUUGUACAACUUGUUUACUUCCAAAGAACCUAAAUGUAUGGAAUUUAAAAAGAUUGUAAGGAGAUAUAAUAAUUAUUUUGCUUUCACUUCAUUUGGUGUUAAAUACGACAAAGAGCUCUUCAAAUCAUAUAGAUGUAUUUACACAUUCAGGUUCAAGGACAAGUAUAUCAUUACGUAAAUGAACUUAUCCCACAGAACAGUACACCUUCUUAUAUGCAAUUAUACUUUUAUGAUACAGAUAAUGAACUCCAAAAUCGUAUGAAAAAUUUAGAAAACUUUGUUCAAUGUACUUUGAUUGUUCUAAUUGAAAUCCUUAAGGUAAAGUCGUACAGUAGAUUCUUUAGGUCUUUAAGUCAUACAACUAAUUUGCAAGAGCAUUGAAUACACAUAAGAUGUGACCAGG
rnacentral:lncRNA from 1 species